AGAGUUGUGGCUCAGUGGUAGAGCGCUCACCUAGCAUGUGUGAGGCCCUGGGUUCGAUCCUCAGCAAUACAU
rnacentral:tRNA from 1 species